rnacentral:rRNA from 1 species
GACGGAGGUGCCGAGCGUUAGGCGGAAUCACUGGGCGUAAAGCGUGCGCAGGCGGUGAUGUAAGACAGGUGUGAAAUCCCCGGGCUUAACCUGGGAACUGCAUUUGUGACUGCAUCGCUGGAGUGCGGCAGAGGGGGAUGGAAUUCCGCGUGUAGCAGUGAAAUGCGUAGAUAUGCGGAGGAACACCGAUGGCGAAGGCAAUCCCCUGGGCCUGCACUGACGCUCAUGCACGAAAGCGUGGGGAGCAAACAGG